rnacentral:lncRNA from 1 species
CAGUUCUGUUAUAAUAUUGACUUCGGUUAAGCUGAGGUUAGCGAAGUCAAUCCUUUGCUUGGGUCCUUGGAGGUCGGAGAUCAGAGCGCUGUGUUUAAGUCGUCUGGCCGUAAGAAAGACUUUAUCUGCGCCAGUAAGAGUAAGAGCUUGAAAAGAAGGGAAAGAGGAAGAAGUAUUCAAAUAAUUCACUCCUUUCCCUUUAGGAAAGCUUUACUUUAUUCUUUCUUUAUAUACUUACCUUACUAUAUAAGACAAUACUCUAAAAGACUUGGACGAUAAAAGUAAGAUUGAGAACUAUGAAUAGUAGGAAUAGUCUAAAGCAGUGGUUAGCUAGAAGAAGAGUCAAAGACUUUUUCCUAUCCGCUGCUGGUGGUGAAGUCAGUGAAUCAGUCCCCAAGCUUUCUUCCUUCAAAGAAUAAAUUUUGUCAUUACGAACUAAGACCGAAGGCAGGUGCAGUUAAUAGAGCAAUGUGCGGGUUGGGCUUUUUCAAGGAUUGCAAGCUCCAAGCAUAGCUAGAGAGAAUAGGGCCUUUGUUGCCACGCCAGCAUAUGCUAGGCAGGAUUAGAUUGAGCAGUAUAAAGGUUACUUUCUUGGCACCGGGGAUUGCCAUUUACAUUUUACUCCUUUUGGUAAGGCAACCCUUUAUUAGAUUAGGACCGCUUCUCCGAUGAGAUGAUAGAUGCCUUUGGCCGAUUCCCUUGUUUGUCAUCUCGCCCUCCCCGCUCAAACUCAAAGUCUGUCUUAAAAUAGAGGGAGAGGGAGCUCCAGAGCUCUUCCCUUUGGGACACGUGAACUCCACUCUUGGCAACUGCCUGCCCUCUGCUGUAGCAAAAGUACCUUAAAGAUAAGAAAGAGGGUCGGGCCCGCCAUUCCG